rnacentral:rRNA from 1 species
UACGAAGGGGGCUAGCGUUAAUCGGAAUUACUGGGCGUAAAGCGUGCGCAGGCGGUUUUGUAAGCCAGGUGUGAAAUCCCCGGGCUCAACCUGGGAAUGGCAUUUGGGACUGCAAGGCUGGAGUGCGGCAGAGGAGACUGGAAUUCCUGGUGUAGCAGUGAAAUGCGUAGAUAUCAGGAGGAACACCGAUGGCGAAGGCAGGUCUCUGGGCUGACACUGACGCUCAUGCACGAAAGCGUGGGGAGCAAACAGG